UCAGGACGAACGCUGGCGGCGUGCUUCAUACAUGCAAGUCGAACGAGAAGCUACUCGGUAAGUGGAAAGUGGCGACGGGUGAGUAAUGUGUAGAGAAUCUGCCCUGAAGUGGGGGACGAACAGAGGGAAACUUCUGCUAAUACCCCAUAUGAGCGUAGUUGAGAUACUAUUCUUGAAAGAUUUAUCGCUUCAGGAUGAGUCUGCAUCUGAUUAGCUAGUUGGAGGUGUAAUGGACCACCAAGGCGACGAUCAGUAGCUGGUUUGAGAGGAUGAUCAGCCACAAUGGGACUGAGACACGGCCCAUACUCCUACGGGAGGCAGCAGUAGGGAAUUUUGCGCAAUGGGCGAAAGCCUGACGCAGCCAACGCCGCGUGAUCGCAGACGGCCUUCGGGUUGUAAAGAUCUGUCAGUAGGGACGAACAAUGACUGUACCUACAGAGGAAGCACCGGCUAACUCCGUGCCAGCAGCCGC
rnacentral:rRNA from 1 species